UAGAGUUUGAUCAUGGCUCAGGACGAACGCUGGCGGCGUGCCUAACACAUGCAAGUCGAACGAAGCUUGAUGAUGGAUUUCUUCGGAAAGAAAUCUGAUAUGACUGAGUGGCGGACGGGUGAGUAACGCGUGAGUAACCUGCCCUUAGGAAAGGGAUAGCGUCUGGAAACGGACGGUAAUACCACAUAAAGUAUAUUAACGGCAUCGUAGAUAUACCAAAGCUGAGGCGCCUAAGGAUGGACUCGCGUCUGAUUAGAUAGUUGGUGGGGUAACGGCCUACCAAGUCGACGAUCAGUAGCCGGACUGAGAGGUUGAACGGCCACAUUGGGACUGAGACACGGCCCAGACUCCUACGGGAGGCAGCAGUGGGGAAUAUUGCACAAUGGGCGAAAGCCUGAUGCAGCAACGCCGCGUGAAGGAAGACGGUUUUCGGAUUGUAAACUUCUGUUCUUAGUGAAGAAUAAUGACGGUAACUAAGGAGCAAGCCACGGCUAACUACGUGCCAGCAGCCGCGGUAAUACGUAGGUGGCAAGCGUUGUCCGGAAUUACUGGGUGUAAAGGGAGCGUAGGCGGGAAGCCAAGUCAGCUGUGAAAACUACGGGCUUAACCUGUAGACUGCAGUUGAAACUGGCUUUCUUGAGUGAAGUAGAGGUUGGCGGAAUUCCGAGUGUAGCGGUGAAAUGCGUAGAUAUUCGGAGGAACACCGGUGGCGAAGGCGGCCAACUGGGCUUUAACUGACGCUGAGGCUCGAAAGUGUGGGGAGCAAACAGGAUUAGAUACCCUGGUAGUCCACACAGUAAACGAUGAAUACUAAUUGUUCGGGGAGAAUGAUCCCUGAGUGAUACAGCGAAGCGUUAAGUAUUCCACCUGGGGAGUACGCCGGCCACGGUGAAACUC
rnacentral:rRNA from 1 species